GAGACGGUGGUCUAGCGGUUAGAACGCUGGCCUUGUAAUCCUGGGGUCUCGGGUUCGAUUCCUGGCGGUGCCC
rfam:Zootermopsis nevadensis contig19329, whole genome shotgun sequence.